UACGUAGGUGGCAAGCGUUGUCCGGAUUUACUGGGCGUAAAGAGCGCGCAGGCGGUCGUUCAAGUCGCGUGUGAAAGCCCCCGGCUCAACUGGGGAGGGUCACGCGAUACUGAUCGACUCGAAGGCAGGAGAGGGUAGUGGAAUUCCCGGUGUAGUGGUGAAAUGCGUAGAUAUCGGGAGGAACACCAGUGGCGAAGGCGACUACCUGGCCCAUUCUUGACGCUGAGGAGCGAAAGCGUGGGGAGCAAACAGG
rnacentral:rRNA from 1 species